AUGUGGUCAAGUUGUUAAGGGCGCACGGUGGAUGCCUUGGCACCAGGAGCCGAUGAAGGACGUGGGAGGCUGCGUUAAGCCUCGGGGAGCUGCCAACCGAGCGUUGAUCCGAGGAUGUCCGAAUGGGGGAACCCGGCAGCAGUCAUGUGCUGUCACCUCCGCCUGAAUAUAUAGGGCGGUUGGAGGGAACGCGGGGAAGUGAAACAUCUCAGUACCCGCAGGAAGAGAAAACAACAGUGAUUCCGUGAGUAGUGGCGAGCGAAAGCGGAUGAGGCUAAACCGUUCCCGUGGGAUACCCGGCAGGGGUUGCGGGGGCGGGGUUGUGGGGCGUGUCUGUGUCGAUGCUGCCGUGUCGGCGCGCGUUGUCCGUUGGGGUAGUCGAAGGCUCUGGGAAGGGCCGGCGUAGAAGGUGAGACCCCUGUAGGCGAAAGUCCAGCGGCGCGUGUGGGACGUGUCCCCGAGUAGCACGGGGCCCGAGAAAUCUCGUGUGAAUCUGCCAGGACCACCUGGUAAGCCUAAAUACUUCCUGGUGACCGAUAGCGGACUAGUACCGUGAGGGAAAGGUGAAAAGUACCCCGGGAGGGGAGUGAAAGAGUACCUGAAACCGUGUGCCUACAAGCCGUCGGAGCAUCCUUGUUGGUGUGACGGCGUGCCUUUUGAAGAAUGAGCCUGAGAGUUAGCGGCGUGUGGCGAGGUUAACCCGUGUGGGGAAGCCGGAGCGAAAGCGAGUCCGAAUAGGGCGUCUGUAGUCGCACGUUCUAGACCCGAAGCGGAGUGAUCUACCCAUGGGCAGGGUGAAGCGCGGGUAAGACCGCGUGGAGGCCCGAACCCACCAGGGUUGAAAACCUGGGGGAUGACCUGUGGGUAGGGGUGAAAGGCCAAUCAAACUCCGUGAUAGCUGGUUCUCCCCGAAAUGCAUUUAGGUGCAGCGUCGCGUGUUUCUUGCCGGAGGUAGAGCUACUGGAUAGCCUAGGGGCCCUACAAGGUUACUGAAGUUAGCCAAACUCCGAAUGCCGGUAAGUUCAAGCGCGGCAGUGAGACGGCGGGUGAUAAGAUUCGUCGUCGAGAGGGAAACAGCCCAGACCACCAGCUAAGGCCCCUAAGCGCGCGCUAAGUGGGAAAGGAUGUGGAGUCGCACAGACAACCAGGAGGUUGGCUUAGAAGCAGCCACCCUUGAAAGAGUGCGUAAUAGCUCACUGGUCAAGUGAUUCCGCGCCGACAAUGUAGCGGGGCUCAAGCGCGCCGCCGAAGCUGUGGCAUUCCCGUGUUAACCCCAGCAUGUAUGUGUUCAGGGGCGGGGAUGGGUAGGGGAGCGUCGUGCCGUGGGUGAAGCAGCGCUGGAAGGUAGCUGUGGACGCGGCACGAGUGAGAAUUCAGGCAUGAGUAGCGAAAGAAGGGUGAGAAUCCCUUCCGCCGGAUGACCAAGGGUUCCUGGGCCAGGCUGUUCCGCCCAGGGUGAGUCGGGGCCUAAGGCGAGGCCGACAGGCGUAGUCGAUGGAUAACGGGUUGAUAUUCCCGUACCCGCUGUGAUGCGCCCAUGCUGAAUCCAGUGAUGCUAAGCCCUCUCAACGUGUGGAUCCUUCGGGUGAUGCGCGGGCGGACGGUGACCCGAUCUGGUAGUAGGCAAGCGAUGGGGUGACGCAGGAAGGUAGCCCAUCCCGGGCGAUGGUUGUCCCGGGGUAAGGAUGUAGGGCGUGCGGUAGGUAAAUCCGCCGCGCACUGAGCCUGAGAUCUGAUGCCGAGCCGAUUGUGGCGAAGUGGGUGAUCCUAUGCUGCCUAGAAAAGCCUCUAGUGAGUGUCACGGCGGCCCGUACCCCAAACCGACACAGGUGGUCAGGUAGAGAAUACCAAGGCGAUCGAGCGAACCGUGGUCAAGGAACUCGGCAAAAUGCCCCCGUAACUUCGGGAGAAGGGGGGCCUCGUCUGGUGAUAGGCCUUGCGUCUUGAGCUGGGUGGGGCCGCAGAGACCAGUGAGAAGCGACUGUUUACUAAAAACACAGGUCCGUGCCAAGUCGCAAGACGAUGUAUACGGACUGACGCCUGCCCGGUGCUGGAACGUUAAGGGGACCGGUUAGCUCUUCGGGGCGAAGCUGAGAACUUAAGCGCCAGUAAACGGCGGUGGUAACUAUAACCAUCCUAAGGUAGCGAAAUUCCUUGUCGGGUAAGUUCCGACCUGCACGAAUGGCGUAACGACUUCUCAGCUGUCUCGACCACGGACUCGGCGAAAUUGCACUACGAGUAAAGAUGCUCGUUACGCGCAGCAGGACGGAAAGACCCCGGGACCUUCACUACAGCUUGAUAUUGGUGGUCGGCUCGGCUUGUGUAGGAUAGGUGGGAGCCUGUGAAGCCCGGACGCCAGUUCGGGUGGAGGCGACGUUGAAAUACCACUCUGGUCGUGCUGGCUGUCUAACUUGGGCCCGUGAUCCGGGUCAGGGACAGUGUCUGGUGGGUAGUUUAACUGGGGCGGUUGCCUCCCAAAAGGUAACGGAGGCGCCCAAAGGUUCCCUCAGCCUGGUCGGCAACCAGGUGUCGAGUGCAAGUGCACAAGGGGGCUUGACUGUGAGACCGACAGGUCGAGCAGGAGCGAAAGCUGGGACUAGUGAUCCGGCGGUGGCUUGUGGAAGCGCCGUCGCUCAACGGAUAAAAGGUACCCCGGGGAUAACAGGCUGAUCUUGCCCAAGAGUCCAUAUCGACGGCAAGGUUUGGCACCUCGAUGUCGGCUCGUCGCAUCCUGGGGCUGGAGUAGGUCCCAAGGGUUGGGCUGUUCGCCCAUUAAAGCGGUACGCGAGCUGGGUUUAGAACGUCGUGAGACAGUUCGGUCCCUAUCCGCUGCGCGCGUUGGAGACUUGUGAAGGGCUGUCCCUAGUACGAGAGGACCGGGACGGACGAACCUCUGGUGUGCCAGUUGUACCGCCAGGUGCAUGGCUGGUUGGCUACGUUCGGAAGGGAUAACCGCUGAAAGCAUCUAAGCGGGAAGCCUGCUUCAAGAUGAGGUCUCCCACCCCUUCGAGGGGGUAAGGCCCCCAGCAGACCACUGGGUUGAUAGGCCGGACGUGGAAGCACUGCAAGGUGUGUAGCGGACCGGUACUAAUAGGCCGAGGGCUUGACUA
rnacentral:rRNA from 1 species